UACGAGCACCCCAAGCGUUAUCCGGAAUCAUUGGGCGUAAAGGGUGUGUAGGCGGCGAUGUUAGUCUUCUGUCAAAUUCUUCGGCUUAACCGGGGGCUUGCAGGGGAAACGGCAUGGCUCGAGAGUGCGAGAGGUGAAUGGAACUCAUGGAGUAGGGGUAAUAUCCGUUGAUAUCAUGGGGAACACUGAAAGCGAAGGCAAUUCACUGGCGCAUUUCUGACGCUGAGACACGAAAGCGUGGGUAGCGAAUGGG
rnacentral:rRNA from 1 species